AAUAAGUGGAGAACCGCCGCUGCCAGUAUCGACUUCAUGUUGUCAUUGGUAGAGGAACUUCCCGACUCCCGGCCAUCGAUUGCGAUGGCAAGGUUGCCUCACGAAACAGCAAGUGAGGGCGCCAGACCAGCAAUGGCCUGGUGACUACAACCGCAACAGAGAGUAGUCCCGCCAGCGGCCCUGGCAUCCGACCAGGGUGCGGGUAAGGGCUGAAAGGGUGGGGUAAGAGCCCACCAGCGGUCGUAGAGAUACGUCCGGCUAGGCGAGCGUGCAACCGGGAGCAAGGCGAGUGGGUCAGGCUGGCGUGAUACACACUGGUUUGAUCUCGUCGCAGUGACUGCCGGUGAGGCCGGAUAACACCCGGCAAACCAGGCGUCACCACGCCGAUUCAUCGGUGUGAGACAGAUGGCGGUAGCAGACAAAAACGUCUGUAACAGAAUCGGGGGUACAUCCACUUUUUCAUU
rnacentral:RNase_P_RNA from 1 species